rnacentral:rRNA from 1 species
UAAGUAGGGGGCAAGCGUUGUACGGAUUUACUGGGCGUAAAGGGUGCGUAGGCGGAUAUUUAAGUGAGAUGUGAAAUACCCGGGCUCAACUUGGGUGCUGCAUUUCAAACUGGAUAUCUAGAGUGCGGGAGAGGAAGGUGGAAUUCCUAGUGUAGCGGUGAAAUGCGUAGAGAUUAGGAAGAACAUCAGUGGCGAAGGCGACUUUCUGGACUUUAACUGACGCUGAGGCAUGAAAGCGUGGGGAGCAAACAGG